CCCGGGUUCGAUUCCUGGCCAAUGCAGGUUUGGUUUCUUUUCCUAUACAUUGCAGUUCUUUCUCUCAUCUAGGUUUAAUGACUCUUGAAUAAAUUAAACCAGGUGGCC